GAGGCGAUUGAACAGGGAAGAGCACAAUUUGAAAAUCGUUUCGUAAGAGACGACUUGUAUUUUAUGUUUCUAUUGCCAGUAUCAACCUUGGGUUAACUCUCUUAGAAUAGAGGGCCAGAGAGGGUGAGAGUCCCGUCUUUGCUCUAUGGUUGGUGCGUACGGUAUGGAAAACUAGAGUCGCGUUCUUUGGGAAUAGAGCGCUAAGUAGGUGGUAGAUUUCAUCUAAUGCUAAAUAUUGGUGGGAGACCGAUAGCGAACAAGUACCGUGAGGGAAAGGUGAAAAGAACUUUGAAAAGAGGGUUAAAAGUGCCUGAAAUCGCUGGUAGGGAAGCGGAUAAAACUGUCCACGUCUUUAGGAAUGGUAAAUGAGAAAGCUGAAAGUUGGAGUUCACCGCAAGGGAAUCUCUGGUCGUAGGCCCAAUUGAGUACCUGUCUUCCUGGGAUGAAGUUAGCAUCAGUUACAGCUGCGGCAUAACCCCUAAUUGUGAGCAAACUUGUUUGUGAGUAAUUAGGACGGUCGCCGCGGUUGCCCCUGAGAGCCGUCGCUUGCGUCGA
rnacentral:rRNA from 1 species